UAAUACGUANGUGGCAAGCGUUGUCCGGAGUUACUGGGUGUAAAGGGCGUGUAGGCGGGAAGAUAAGUCAGAUGUGAAAUUCCAUGGCUCAACUGUGGCGCUGCAUCUGAAACUAUUUUUCUUGAGUGAUGGAGAGGAAAGCGGAAUUCCUAGUGUAGCGGUGAAAUGCGUAGAUAUUAGGAGGAACACCAGUGGCGAAGGCGGCUUUCUGGACAUUAACUGACGCUGAGGCGCGAAAGCGUGGGGAGCAAACAGGAUUAGAUACCCUGGUAGUCCACGCUGUAAACGAUGGAUACUAGGUGUAGGAGGUAUCGACCCCUUCUGUGCCGGAGUUAACACAAUAAGUAUCCCACCUGGGGAGUACGGCCGCNAGGUUGAAACUCAAAGGAAUUGACGGGGGCCCGCACAAGCAGUGGAGUAUGUGGUUUAAUUCGAAGCAACGCGAAGAACCUUACCAGGACUUGACAUCCCUUGAUCGCCGUAAGAGAUACCGUUUCCCCUCCGGGCAANGAGACAGGUGGUGCAUGGUUGUCGUCAGCUCGUGU
rnacentral:rRNA from 1 species